UACGGAGGGUGCAAGCGUUAAUCGGAAUUACUGGGCGUAAAGCGUGCGCAGGCGGUGAUGUAAGACAGAUGUGAAAUCCCCGGGCUCAACCUGGGAACUGCAUUUGUGACUGCAUCGCUGGAGUGCGGCAGAGGGGGAUGGAAUUCCGCGUGUAGCAGUGAAAUGCGUAGAUAUGCGGAGGAACACCGAUGGCGAAGGCAAUCCCCUGGGCCUGCACUGACGCUCAUGCACGAAAGCGUGGGGAGCAAACAGG
rnacentral:rRNA from 1 species